rnacentral:rRNA from 1 species
AAUCAACGCUGGCGGCGUGCCUAACACAUGCAAGUCGAACGAGAAAGGGGAGCAAUCCCUGAGUAAAGUGGCGACCGGGUGAGUAACACGUGACCAAUCUACCUUCGAGUGGGGGAUAACUCCGGGAAACCGGAGCUAAUACCGCAUAACAUCUUUGGAACGCGAGUUCCGUUGAUCAAAGCAGCAAUGCGCUGGAAGAGGAGGUCGCGGCUGAUUAGCUAGUUGGCGGGGUAAUGGCACACCAAGGCUUAGAUCGGUAGCCGGCCUGAGAGGGCGCACGGCCACACUGGAGCUGAAACACGGUCCAGACUCCUACGGGAGGCAGCAGUGGGGAAUUUUGCGCAAUGGGGGAAACCCUGACGCAGCAACGCCGCGUGGAGGAUGAAGUCCCUUGGGACGUAAACUCCUUUCGACCCCGACGAUAAUGACGGUACGGGUGGAAGAAGCACCGGCUAACUCUGUGCCAGCCGCCGCCGUAAAAC